AGCGAACGCUGGCGGCAGGCCUAACACAUGCAAGUCGAACGGACCUUUCGGGGUUAGUGGCGGACGGAUGAGUAACACGUGGGAACGUGCCUUUAGGUUCGGAAUAGCUCCUGGAAACGGGUGGUAAUGCCGAAUGUGCCCUUAGGGGGAAAGAUUUAUCGCCUUUAGAGCGGCCCGCGUCUGAUUAGCUAGUUGGUGAGGUAAUGGCUCACCAAGGCUACGAUCAGUAGCUGGUCCGAGAGGAUGACCAGCCACAUUGGGACUGAGACACGGCCCAAACUCCUACGGGAGGCAGCAGUGGGGAAUCUUGCGCAAUGGGCGAAAGCCUGACGCAGCCAUGCCGCGUGGAUGAUGAAGGUCUUAGGAUUGUAAAAUCCUUUCACCGGUGAAGAUAAUGACUGUAGCCGGAGAAGAAGCCCCGGCUAACUUCGUGCCAGCCGCCGCAGUAA
rnacentral:rRNA from 1 species